AAACUACUCCCUCCGUCCCAAAAUUCUUGUCUUAAAUUCGUUUAGAUACGAAUGUAUCUAAUAACUAAACAUGACUUGAUACAUCCCUCUUUAGACAAAUCUAAGACAAGAAUUUUGGGACGGAGGGAGGACUAC
rfam:Triticum aestivum genome assembly, contig: Triticum_aestivum_CS42_TGACv1_scaffold_533047_6DL